GUGCCAGCAGCCGCGGUAAAACGUAGGUGGCAAGCGUUAUCCGGAUUUACUGGGCGUAAAGGGUGUGCAGGCGGCAGGUCAAGUGGUGUAUGAAAGAGCCCGGCUUAACCGGGCGAGGCUAUGCCAGACUGACCGGCUGGAGUGCGGGAGAGGGACGUGGAAUUCCGGGUGUAGUGGUGAAAUGCGUAGAGAUCCGGAGGAACCCCAGAGGCGAAGGCGGCGUCCUGGCCCGACACUGACGCUCAGACACGACAGCAUGGGGAGCGAACGGGAUUAGAAACCCCCGUAGUCC
rnacentral:rRNA from 1 species